rnacentral:lncRNA from 1 species
CAGGAAAUGGUCAAAUACUGGCCCACGAUACAUGAGAAAUGCGUGCCCUGUCUUUCCAGAGAAAUCGAGCUCCCAAAAACGUUUGCGGUAAAUCCCUGCUUUUUGGCUCCUCAAUAAUGGGAUAUUAUACUGUACCUUAUUGAGUACAUUGGAGUUUUUUUCCCUUCCCUUAAAUGCUAUUUGCUGAAACUGCUCAAAAAGACUUUCCGAGGUGGCCCCGUUGGUGUCUUUGUUCCAGCCCGCCCGCCCCGAAAGGCAGGAGUCUCUCUGCCUUCAAGGAGCUGGAAACGCAGUCACAGCUCUCUCACUACAGAGGCCGGGCUUGUGGCAAACCAGGAGUCGUAUUUGUGUUUACUUUCCUGCCUUGCGCAGUUGAGCUGCACUUGAGUGACUCCCAUUAACAAGCAUGAAGUUACUUAAUGGCCUUGCCUGUCUGCUGUUUUCUGUUACGCUGCCAUCCUGUGAACGGCCUUCUGUAUUUUUGUUCAGAUUGAACCCAAGAGGACUCGUGACUCAUGGCUCAACUGGUCCUAUGGCUCCACCCAACAGCAAGUUCUGCACACCCCUAUGAUUGCUUCCCCAACGAAUCAGCAGCAGUUAUUCCCUAGCCCCCUGC